rnacentral:rRNA from 1 species
GACGAACGCUGUCGGCGUGCUUAACACAUGCAAGUCGAACGGAAAGGCCCUGCUUUUGUGGGGUGCUCGAGUGGCGAACGGGUGAGUAACACGUGAGUAACCUGCCCUUGACUUUGGGAUAACUUCAGGAAACUGGGGCUAAUACCGGAUAGGAGCUCCUGCUGCAUGGUGGGGGUUGGAAAGUUUCGGCGGUUGGGGAUGGACUCGCGGCUUAUCAGCUUGUUGGUGGGGUAGUGGCUUACCAAGGCUUUGACGGGUAGCCGGCCUGAGAGGGUGACCGGCCACAUUGGGACUGAGAUACGGCCCAGACUCCUACGGGAGGCCGCAGUGGGGAAUAUUGCACAAUGGGCGGAAGCCUGAUGCAGCAACGCCGCGUGCGGGAUGACGGCCUUCGGGUUGUAAACCGCUUUCGCCUGUGACGAAGCGUGAGUGACGGUAAUGGGUAAAGAAGCACCGGCUAACUACGUGCCAGCAGCCGCGGUGAUACGUAGGGUGCGAGCGUUGUCCGGAUUUAUUGGGCGUAAAGGGCUCGUAGGUGGUUGAUCGCGUCGGAAGUGUAAUCUUGGGGCUUAACCCUGAGCGUGCUUUCGAUACGGGUUGACUUGAGGAAGGUAGGGGAGAAUGGAAUUCCUGGUGGAGCGGUGGAAUGCGCAGAUAUCAGGAGGAACACCAGUGGCGAAGGCGGUUCUCUGGGCCUUUCCUGACGCUGAGGAGCGAAAGCGUGGGGAGCGAACAGGCUUAGAUACCCUGGUAGUCCACGCUGUAAACGGUGGGUACUAGGUGUGGGGUCCAUUCCACGGGUUCCGUGCCGUAGCUAACGCUUUAAGUACCCCGCCUGGGGAGUACGGCCGCAAGGCUAAAACUCAAAGGAAUUGACGGGGCCCCGCACAAGCGGCGGAGCAUGCGGAUUAAUUCGAUGCAACGCGUAGAACCUUACCUGGGUUUGACAUGGAUCGGGAGUGCUCAGAGAUGGGUGUGCCUCUUUUGGGGUCGGUUCACAGGUGGUGCAUGGCUGUCGUCAGCUCGUGUCGUGAGAUGUUGGGUUAAGUCCCGCAACGAGCGCAACCCUUGUUCACUGUUGCCAGCACGUUAUGGUGGGGACUCAGUGGAGACCGCCGGGGUCAACUCGGAGGAAGGUGGGGAUGACGUCAAGUCAUCAUGCCCCUUACGUCCAGGGCUUCACGCAUGCUACAAUGGCUGGUACAGAGAGUGGCGAGCCUGUGAGGGUGAGCGAAUCUCGGAAAGCCGGUCUCAGUUCGGAUUGGGGUCUGCAACUCGACCUCAUGAAGUCGGAGUCGCUAGUAAUCGCAGAUCAGCAACGCUGCGGUGAAUACGUUCCCGGG